UACGUAGGGUGCAAGCGUUGUCCGGAAUUAUUGGGCGUAAAGAGCUCGUAGGCGGCCUGUUGCGUCCGCUGUGAAAUCCCGGGGCUUAACCCCGGGUCUGCAGUGGAUACGGGCAGGCUAGAGGCAGGCAGGGGAGAACGGAAUUCCCGGUGUAGCGGUGAAAUGCGCAGAUAUCGGGAGGAACACCGGUGGCGAAGGCGGUUCUCUGGGCCUGUUCUGACGCUGAGGAGCGAAAGCGUGGGGAGCGAACAGG
rnacentral:rRNA from 1 species